GACGGAGGAUGCAAGUGUUAUCCGGAAUCACUGGGCGUAAAGCGUCUGUAGGUGGUUCGAAAAGUCCACUGUUAAAAAUUGAGGCUUAACCUCAAAGAUGCCGUGGAAACUUUCAAACUAGAGUAUGGCAGGGGUAGAGGGAAUUUCCAGUGGAGCGGUGAAAUGCGUAGAUAUUGGAAAGACCACCGAUGGCGAAGGCACUCUACUGGGCCAUUACUGACACUGAGAGACGAAAGCUAGGGGAGCGAAUGGG
rnacentral:rRNA from 1 species